rnacentral:rRNA from 1 species
UGCCAGCCGCCGCGGUAAUACGGAGGGGACUAGCGUUGUUCGGAAUUACUGGGCGUAAAGCGCGCGUAGGCGGGCUGGUCAGUUGGGGGUGAAAUCCCGAGGCUUAACCUCGGAACUGCCUUCAAUACUGCCAGUCUUGAGUUCGGAAGAGGUGAGUGGAAUUCCUAGUGUAGAGGUGAAAUUCGUAGAUAUUAGGAGGAACGCCGGAGGCGAAAGCGACUAUCUGGGCCAUAACUGACGCUGAUGUGCGAAAGCUAGGGGAGCAAACGGGAUUAGAUA